GUUAAGCGACUAAGCGUACACGGUGGAUGCCCUGGCAGUCAGAGGCGAUGAAGGACGUGCUAAUCUGCGAUAAGCGUCGGUAAGGUGAUAUGAACCGUUAUAACCGGCGAUUUCCGAAUGGGGAAACCCAGUGUGUUUCGACACACUAUCAUUAACUGAAUCCAUAGGUUAAUGAGGCGAACCGGGGGAACUGAAACAUCUAAGUACCCCGAGGAAAAGAAAUCAACCGAGAUUCCCCCAGUAGCGGCGAGCGAACGGGGAGCAGCCCAGAGCCUGAAUCAGUGUGUGUGUUAGUGGAAGCGUCUGGAAAGGCGCGCGAUACAGGGUGACAGCCCCGUACACAAAAAUGCACAUGCUGUGAGCUCGAUGAGUAGGGCGGGACACGUGGUAUCCUGUCUGAAUAUGGGGGGACCAUCCUCCAAGGCUAAAUACUCCUGACUGACCGAUAGUGAACCAGUACCGUGAGGGAAAGGCGAAAAGAACCCCGGCGAGGGGAGUGAAAAAGAACCUGAAACCGUGUACGUACAAGCAGUGGGAGCACGCUUAGGCGUGUGACUGCGUACCUUUUGUAUAAUGGGUCAGCGACUUAUAUUCUGUAGCAAGGUUAACCGAAUAGGGGAGCCGAAGGGAAACCGAGUCUUAACUGGGCGUUAAGUUGCAGGGUAUAGACCCGAAACCCGGUGAUCUAGCCAUGGGCAGGUUGAAGGUUGGGUAACACUAACUGGAGGACCGAACCGACUAAUGUUGAAAAAUUAGCGGAUGACUUGUGGCUGGGGGUGAAAGGCCAAUCAAACCGGGAGAUAGCUGGUUCUCCCCGAAAGCUAUUUAGGUAGCGCCUCGUGAAUUCAUCUCCGGGGGUAGAGCACUGUUUCGGCAAGGGGGUCAUCCCGACUUACCAACCCGAUGCAAACUGCGAAUACCGGAGAAUGUUAUCACGGGAGACACACGGCGGGUGCUAACGUCCGUCGUGAAGAGGGAAACAACCCAGACCGCCAGCUAAGGUCCCAAAGUCAUGGUUAAGUGGGAAACGAUGUGGGAAGGCCCAGACAGCCAGGAUGUUGGCUUAGAAGCAGCCAUCAUUUAAAGAAAGCGUAAUAGCUCACUGGUCGAGUCGGCCUGCGCGGAAGAUGUAACGGGGCUAAACCAUGCACCGAAGCUGCGGCAGCGACGCUUAUGCGUUGUUGGGUAGGGGAGCGUUCUGUAAGCCUGCGAAGGUGUGCUGUGAGGCAUGCUGGAGGUAUCAGAAGUGCGAAUGCUGACAUAAGUAACGAUAAAGCGGGUGAAAAGCCCGCUCGCCGGAAGACCAAGGGUUCCUGUCCAACGUUAAUCGGGGCAGGGUGAGUCGACCCCUAAGGCGAGGCCGAAAGGCGUAGUCGAUGGGAAACAGGUUAAUAUUCCUGUACUUGGUGUUACUGCGAAGGGGGGACGGAGAAGGCUAUGUUGGCCGGGCGACGGUUGUCCCGGUUUAAGCGUGUAGGCUGGUUUUCCAGGCAAAUCCGGAAAAUCAAGGCUGAGGCGUGAUGACGAGGUACUACGGUGCUGAAGCAACAAAUGCCCUGCUUCCAGGAAAAGCCUCUAAGCAUCAGGUAACAUCAAAUCGUACCCCAAACCGACACAGGUGGUCAGGUAGAGAAUACCAAGGCGCUUGAGAGAACUCGGGUGAAGGAACUAGGCAAAAUGGUGCCGUAACUUCGGGAGAAGGCACGCUGAUAUGUAGGUGAAGUCCCUUGCGGAUGGAGCUGAAAUCAGUCGAAGAUACCAGCUGGCUGCAACUGUUUAUUAAAAACACAGCACUGUGCAAACACGAAAGUGGACGUAUACGGUGUGACGCCUGCCCGGUGCCGGAAGGUUAAUUGAUGGGGUUAGCGGUAACGCGAAGCUCUUGAUCGAAGCCCCGGUAAACGGCGGCCGUAACUAUAACGGUCCUAAGGUAGCGAAAUUCCUUGUCGGGUAAGUUCCGACCUGCACGAAUGGCGUAAUGAUGGCCAGGCUGUCUCCACCCGAGACUCAGUGAAAUUGAACUCGCUGUGAAGAUGCAGUGUACCCGCGGCAAGACGGAAAGACCCCGUGAACCUUUACUAUAGCUUGACACUGAACAUUGAGCCUUGAUGUGUAGGAUAGGUGGGAGGCUUUGAAGUGUGGACGCCAGUCUGCAUGGAGCCGACCUUGAAAUACCACCCUUUAAUGUUUGAUGUUCUAACGUUGACCCGU
rnacentral:rRNA from 1 species